AUGCUGCAUCAUUCUGACUUCAGACAUGGCAGUAGAUCUUUAAGUCGUUUGUGGUAUGUCUGCAAGUGUGGUAUCGAUGCUCUGUUGAUGACGACAUGGGAGGAUGUGAACCCAGGUCGUUGUUUUUAUGGAUGUGGCGUGUAUAAGAUACAAGGAUUAAAAAAAUGCACACAUUGUGCUUGGUUGGAUGAGGAGAUAAAUCCUAGGGAAAAAGAGUUAAUAUUUCCACUACUAAACAACUUGAAUGAGGAGAAGAAGAUGGUAAACACCUACAAAGAAAAAGAGGAAUAA